rnacentral:sRNA from 1 species
CAGAGUUAUCGGGAACAACUCCAUUGUACCAUUAUCACGAUAAUCGAUGAGAGAUUAGACAAAAAAGAAUAAACAGCUCGUCUUCAUAUCGGAGGGAAAAGGU